UCAUGUCUGUACAGUAAAUAUGAAGCUAAAGCCAGGAGAUGGUUAGCUUAGUUUAACAGAAAGACUUAAAACAGGGGGAAACAGCUAGCCUGGCUCUUUGGAAAAGUCAUGA